rnacentral:tRNA from 1 species
UGGUGGCGCAGUGGUAGAACACUCGCCUGUUAAGUCAGGAUCCGCUGGUUCGAUCCCUGCCAUAAGAA